UAUUGAUUGCUUAACUGGCCGAGUCAUUUUCGAAUUAUUGUAGGAAGCUUCACCAUCUGUUGUUUUCAUUAAAGACCUUGAAAUAGUUAGAAGCCCCAAGACCACUUCUGAUGAUGUCAAUCUUAUUGAGGAUGAAAAUGCAAAAGUUGACGGGACAGGUUCAGGCUUCAUCUGGGAUAACUUUGGUCACAUUGUAACCAAUCACCAUGUUGUAGCUAAAUUGGCAACAGAUGGGAGCGGAAUACAUUGUUGUAAGAUUUAUCUAGCAGACACAAGAGGCAAUGGCUUUUACAGGGAAGGAAAGAUUGUUGGUGUUGAUCCAGAAUAUGAUCUGGCUGUCCUUAAGUUGACUAAAGAAGACGUGCAAGCUUGUGUUAGAUAGCCUGAAGUGAACAUAAAGAACCUAGAUUGCAAAGAGCUAUCAAGGAAAGGGUUGAAAGAAUUGCAAGAGUGGAUGGUGGACAACUGGGUUCCUAGAAAUUGCUAAAUUCAAUUAGAUAUUGAAAUGGCUAUUGAGGGAAAUUUAGAGCUAGGAAAAUGACUAAAAUUAGAGUUGUUUCUGAAUAUGUUUCAAUGGAGAUUUGAGAUAUUUGAAGCUGGCCAACCUCAUAUUAAAAUGAAUUUCUUCUGAGUGUCUCUCAAUGGUCCUGUAUCCAAGCAAAGUUUGAUUGCUUCAAUUUUUUAGGAUGGUGCUUUAUUCUUGAAUGAGUUCCCAAAUAAUUUGUUUUCCUUUUUGUAUUCACUUGCUAACUAUGUACUUUGAGGUUCCAUAAUGAGAUGGAAGUGCUUUCAAACUCUUAUCACUAAUUCAUUAAUGGGUGCUACCUAUGUACUUUGAGGUUCCAUAAUGAGAUGGAAGUGCUUUCAAACUCUUAUUACUGAUUCAUUAAUGGGAUUUGCGUGGUUUCUUUUUUA